GCCAGUGCGGUAUAGUGGUUUGAGUGUUAGACUAUGACCCUGGAGACCAGGGUUCAAAUCCCCACUCAGCCA